AGCAACUGAACACCAAGACUUUGAUCGAAGGAACUUCGUGGGAGUGGGCUACUGUGCCUUAUUUACUGACUAACAUCUGUGUGAGGUGAGCUCUCAGUGUUCUGCUCCAUCCACCAUGCAUGUCUGCUCUUUGCUACCGGGCCUGUUUCUUGCUGCCGUGCCUUCACCAUGAUAGAUCCUUCAUCCCUCUGGGACUGUAAGCAAGAAUGUGAGCAUGAUACUAUUUUGGCACCAGGAAGAUGUAGAGACAGCAUGCUCUAAGGAUGGCUGAAUAGGAACAUACACCUGACUCUGAUGACCAUAGAUUAUCCUCUUCUAAGAUGCUCUGUAAUGGAUGGGGGAAAUCCUACAAAUCCGUUUAAGCACUGUUUGCCUUGUGUCAUCUAUUCGCACAUAUGCAAAAUUGAAGUUUCCUGAAGUUUUUCUGCAUCUCCCUAGGAAUCUUGUCCUGGUAGCAACCUGAUAGGAAAAUCAGGGGGGCUACACUUAGUGAGAGCCAAGAGAGUUGGAAAGGUCAGAGCUCUCUGGUCACUCAAGAAACCUGUCUUACACCUGAUAAAUUGACGGUUUAGAGGUUUGUAACAAAUAGACCUUUCCUUGCCUGUUUAAAUUCUCUCUCACUAUAAAGGCACAAAAGUGCCACAUGCUCACUUCCCUCACCUCCUGUGCCUUGGGAGACUGAAGGGCAAACCACGGAAAGACAAAGAAAAAGGGACACAGGAAGACAAGUGCUGAGUCAUCCCCGUGCCCAGUGUGGGAGAGUGCAGUGGAGCUGAGGCGGACUCCCGGCCUGGGCAGAGUUCAUUUGCAUCACAUCACCCGUCUGCAUUCCAGUAGCCUUUGAACCUAUAGCAUUGUUUAUUACACUUCUU
rnacentral:sRNA from 1 species